AUCUCAUGUACGGGAUGGAUAGGUUCUCCAGUCGAUGACCAACGUAGAGAAUACGAUAGUCACAAUGCAUAUUGUGAGGUUGGAAUGGUGCAGAGAUGCACGGGUACGUCCUGAACUUAAGCAUAUCAAUAAGGACAGGAGAAGAAACAAACGUGGAUUUCUUUAGUAGUGGCGAACGAACAAGAAGGAGCUCUAAUGGUAAUGCAAAGUUGUGGGAGCGGUGCAAGAAUCCUAUGGAAAGAGGAGCCAGAGGUGGUGAGAGCCCACGGACGACGCCAGCGAGCAGGAAGAGUAGUAUUGCUUGGUAGUGCAGUAUGAAAGGGUGGUAUGAACAUCCAAGGCUAAAUACAAGGAGAGACCGAUAGCAAAGAAGUACCGCGAGGGAAAGCUGAAAACAAUUGGAUAGGAUGAAAGACAGAAAGUACAUGAGAGUAAGCCCAUUUAUGGGACCCGUAUUGAAACACGGACCAAGGAGAUUUCCAGCGCAGCGAGGAGAAGGGUGGAGGCCCCGAUCCGAGAGAAAUCGGGAAGUUGCGGUGGUAAGACCCGAAAGAUAGUGAACUAUAUCUGUUGGUAUUGAAGUCAGGAGAAAUUCUGAUGGAGGAUAUUAGUCGUUCUGAUGUUCAAUUCGAUGACGAGAAAUGGGUAUAGGGGCGAAAGACCAAACGAACUAUCUGGUAGCUGGUUCCAGUCGAAAUGUCUCUCAGGACAGCGGUUGAGGUAUAGGAAGAUGCAGUAGAGAGGAUGUGGACAGAGUCAACAAACUCCGAAUGUGUCGAAUGUGCUAGGAUCUAGUGCAUGUCUAGGAGUUCUCAACCAGUGGGCAGAUUGUGGUAAGCAUGAUCUGCAAGAAGCAAAGAAGCUGGAAGCAGGAUAAGCAACCAAAGCGACAACACGCAGCAAAGUAGAUGACCAAGUUAAGACAGUAGGACGGUGGCCAUGGAAGUUGGAAUCCGCUAAGAAACGUGUUACAACGUACCUAUCGAAUUUGGGAUAGACUAAAAUUGAAGGUGGUGAUGUCGGGUGCGAGACCUGCAUAUUGGUAGACUGGCACGAGGCUUGCGGAGAAGGACACUGGCGAUGGUGUGUGGAGCGAGCCCCGGAGCAGAUCUUGGAAGUAGUAGCGACUAUUAUUAGGACAUGUUGAGUCGGGUUCAUCCUUUUGAUAGAAGGAGGUGAUACGAUCCUAUGUAAAAGGGGGAUAUGAGGAUAUUCAUAUGAUGGCUCUGAGAUAGCAAUAUAAGAACGACAGCUGGACAGGAGCAGAUGGCAAUUUGUCUGCAGGAGGAUCUACGGAGCGUUACACAGAGAAGUAGACGGACAGCUUGGUAAAAAGACAGGAGCCAGUCGUACCGAACCGCAUCAGGACUCAGGGGUGAGUAGCCCAAUGUGAGAGAGAACUCAAGUAAGGGAAAUCGGCAAAAUGGAUGAGUAACUUCGGGAGAAUUAUUGGCUCUAGCAUGCUAGAACUGGGCUUACAAGGGGAAUCUGACAGUUUAAUAAAAACAUAGCUUUCUGGCAGAUAGAAAGUGAAUUCUGCCCAGUGCUUGGGACGUUAAUGAAGUAAUAUUUAGUACGCACAUGUAAACGGCGGGAGUAACUAUGACUCUCUUAAGGUAGCCAAAUGCCUCGUCAUCUAAUUAGUGACGCGCAUGAAUGGAGCAACGAGAUUCCCACUGUCCCUACUUGAGCAGCGCGAACCUACAGCCAAGGGAACGGGCUUGGGACAAGCAGCGGGGAAAGAAGACCCUGUUGAGCUUGACUCUAGUGAGAUAGAGGCGUUUGUUGUGAUGCCGCAGCAAGGUGGGAAAAAGGUGCAAGACCACUGGCAUAUGGAACGAACGCGUUAGAUAUCUGAUGGGGAGUUUGGCUGGGGCGGCACGACUGCUAAACUAUAACGCAGUUGUCCAAAGGUAAGCUUCGAGGGGAAGGAAACCACUCAUGGAGCAAAAGGGCAAAAGCUUGCUUUAGGCGAUAGUGUGAACUAGCGCUACUGGAAACAGGGGCCUAUAGAUCCUCUUCUAGGUUAUGAGGAGAGGUGACGGAAAAGUUACCACAGGGAUAACUGGCUUGUGGCGGCCGAGCGAUCAUAGCGACGCCGCUUUUUGAUUCUUCGAUGUCGGCUCUUCCUAGCAUGGUGAAGCAGAAAUCACCUAGUGUUGGAUUGUUCACCCACCAACAGGGAACGUGAGCUGGGUUUAGACCGUCGCGAGACAGGUUAGUUUUACCCUACUGCUGAUGCACAAGAGUAGGUCAGAGGAGUACGAGAGGAAGCGCUGAUCAGGACCGCUGGUGAAGCUGUUGUGUGUUAGCGCAGCAGCACAGCUACGUCCUCCGUGUAAUGGCUGAAGGCCUCUAAGCCAGAAAGCAGACUCGAGUGUGUGUGGAUGCGGAGACGACGCAGACAAGGAAGCAAGCUGUGCGACACUAGCCGUGAGCGAGUGUUUGAGGCUGUGCUUUUCCUUCCCCCGGCGUGUUUACACUGCACAGGUCCGUGCGGUCCGAAUUGCUCAAACCUAUAAAUUUUUUAUCUAAUUCGUCGUCUGCAUUUAAAAAUAUGGUAAAUAAGUCUUGAAUCGAAAAACAAAAAUAAGGCUUUAAUAUAAUUUAUUACCUGUUUCUUAAUUUGAAUCGAUACAAUUCUUUUUUAUUAGGCCAAGCUACAUUUGUAUGUCAUGAGCAUUUCCCUUGGAUAGAGCCCACAAAUCCUGCGAUUACAUGCCCUUAUAUAUCGCUUUGAAAAGUUGAUUUCCAAUCAGCAUGAUCAAAUUAAAAUUCAUUGAGAAUGGUGAUGAGAUGCUACUUCUAUGCUCAGCAUAUGCAGAAUGUUCUGAUUUUCAGACCGAUUGGUUGUAUCCCGUGCUUUAUUGUAGCCAAAUGCUUAACUAGUGUCAAAAGAAUUAUUUCGAAAGUGGUAAGCAAAGAGAGCUAUGAGUGGAAACGGGCAUUCAAAAUGAACCAUUUUUGGAAACAUAAGCUUAUUGUACCAGAACUGAUCAACCCAUUCAGUUGUGUUAGAAAUAAUAAGAUAAUAUCUCAAAAGUAAUAUUACGAAUAUAACCAGACAAGCGGGUCGUGUCGAAAAUCAACUAUUAUAGAUUAACUGAAGGAAGCUUGGGCAUUAUCAAUCUUUGUCUAGUUUAUUAAGUGGAUUGUUUCUAUUGAUUAUUAAAUUAGACAACCGCAUUCUUAAUCUCAUUCCUCAUUUUCAGUUAAUCAUACAAAUGAGGUGAAAUUCACGAAUGAUUCUGAUUUUUAAAAGGUGAAUUCAUAGUUACGCAAAUUAUCUUGGUUUCACUAUCUAUAAAACGUCUAUUUCUGCUGUUUAUAAUCAAGCAUCCAAGAAAAGUUUGGUGCGUUUAUACGUUUAUGAUAGGAAUUAUAUUAUAAAUUACGCAUCGUGCAUUCUUUAAGUUCAGUCACAGUAUUGUCUCUAGAAAAGCAAUCGAGCUCAAAAUAUCUGUCAUGCCUGUUAGCAAAUGUGAGAUAAUCACCUGAGCUGUGCAUUCAAACAACCAUUCAUUGUGUUGGGCGGGAAUCUCCCCUACCCCAGUUAAGAUUGCCAUGUAGCUUAAAUAAAUAGGAUGGGUUUUGAAAGGCAUAAGAUUGAUGUGAGCUAUCAAUCAUAAACUUGUAGAGAAUUACGUAUGUCCUGAUGAAUUGAACACUUUUAAAAGAGUCCAGAAUUGUAGCAAUGUGCAAGCAUUUGCACCUUUUAUAUCAACCCAACAUAUUUAAAAUUUUCAUAUGCGUUCUUUUAAAAGUCGGUAAAGACCACAUACAUAAAGCUAGAACUGGCCUCGAGGUGAUACUUAUAUACUUAUUUUAAUUUGUUGAUUGUAUAAUUCCAGAUUAUUAUACAUGAAAUGGCACGAGGUGGUUGAAGUUUAUCAAACAAUAAAAGAUCCAUCUUUGUUGAAAAUGUGUUUGUGGAGUGUUGCGAUUUUACAAUGAUGCUAACUGCAUCUAUUUGCCCUUAAAUCAUAUAGGUCAGUAUCUAGUGAUAUUAAAAAUAUUAAAAUUAAUGCACAUGGAAUUCCGCUUAAGAUUGUCACGUCAAUCACUAUUUCAUAGUAAAAAUUUAUAAUGUAUGCCAUUUCAAAUAUGCUGUUGGGGUCUUAUCUGUUUAUACAAAUCUAAACCAACAUCCUCAUUCUUGUAUGUCUUCCACUCAUUUAGGAGCUUUCUUUGACAAAACUGCCAAUAUAGAUACGGAUUCAUGAACAUACAUCAAUGUGUAGAUGAUGACCACAGAAAUUCAUCUGCAAUUAACUAAAAUCAUAAAUAUAGCUGUUUGAUUUAGUCCAUAUUUUAAAAUACCAUUAUCACUUUCAGAAUUUUCCUGUAUCAAACCGUACUUUGCAGGUAUUGUAAAAAUGUAGUGAAAAGUACAGUGAUGAAAUAAAUACUCAGAUCCUAUUUAUAUGUAGAUGACUCAGCUUGUGAGACUUGACACAAUAAAAUUUUCGAGGAAUUAGCAGGUAGCUCUUCUAAAUAUAUCUUUUUUGAUCCUGAACAUUCUGAACCGCACGCUUGGUUUAAGAUUAGUGAAUGCUCGAAACUCUCUAUGCUUUGUACAAAAUUUGUCUGUCUGGUUUUAGAACACUUCUUGAUUUAUUAUUCAAAUAUUAUUAUAAAAUUACUCAAAACAUAUCUUACAUAGCUUAAGGAUACAUUGAGAUCUGUGUAUUUCACAAAUUAUUUUACCAUAAGAACUUGAAUCGUUUAGCUCAAAGCUGCUUGGCUUUAAAAUCUGUAAAUAAUCUGUUUAAUAGCCGUCUUUAUUUUUUCAAUACCAGAAUAUACUACAAAUAGUUGUGAUUGACUCUAAAUGCAUUUGUGUCAUACACCAUCUCCUGUUGCCUUUUGUUUCUCAAUAUUUAGAUGCCAACAAAUUCCUUCCAAAAUCUCUUCUGUAUUCAUUCCGCCAACUCAAUCAUAUCAUGGCCGGUGAGUACGGGGGAUUGGAGUGACUGCUGUUCACACAUUAGUAUACCAUGUGGCUUGAAUAAGCGUCUAAAUCACCACAUAUGGAACUCGUGGUGUUAAUGUGUUUACGAUAUCCAUACUGUCUGGGUAUACUUUUAUUUCUUCAUGAGUGCUGAUUUUUCAAGUUUAUUUACCUAUGUGAAAAUACAGUGUAUUCUUGGAUAGAUUGGCAUAUUUCUCAUUUUCUGAAAAUUUUACGACACGCUAAUUUAGGACACUCCAAGAUAUAAAGACUGUGUUGGUGAGUUUUAUGUAAUAUUUGUGGCCAUUUGGGCAUAUAGACGUAUAUCUAGUGUAUGGUCUCAGCACCAAAGUUUGAACUUUAAAUCAGUUAGAUGAGUACUUUUUUAUAUUCACACAGUCAAUUGAUUGUCUUCUGGACUUGUCAAAUUGCAAAGUCUAAAUUGUCCAGAAAGAUUACCAUCAGUUUCUACUUGAAAUAACUAGUUCGUUAAAUUAAAAUUUUUAGUUGAAACGACUAAAUACUUCUGACAAAAGACGUGCGGUUAAUAUUUUGAAAUUAGAUGGUACUUUGUGCAACAUAUCAACGUACAAUAUAAAUGCAUUUGCAAUGCCACGUCAUAGUUUACUAGUAGUUUUAUUUGAAGCUUGACGCAAUUAUGAGCUUGUGUAUUAAUGCCCAGGCAUCUAGAUAAUUUUUACUUUAUGCAUAUUCCUGAUAUAUCAAUUGUUUUUAAAAUGCAUAUCUGGUAUCAAAUAACUUUUCUUAUAAUUCUAACAUAUUAGCUAAUAUUCCUUGUAUUCAUACCAAAAUCGUCCAAAUGUGUGCUACAGUUCCUUUUACGACCACCAAGACAUAUUAUUAAAAAAUUUCAACAAAUAUAUAUUUAAUUUUUCCAGAAAGGAUACUGCAUUAUAAUAUUUAACCCAAUUUAUCUUUGAUAUAAAAUUUAUUUAAACACUUUUAUAUCCAAACAUGAUUCAUAAUUUUUAGAGCCAUAUAAAGAGUAUUGAAUAAAUCACAACUACAUGAAAACUAUAUGCUCCUGGAUCUUUCUACAAGUGUCUUUAGUAAUACUAUUGU
rnacentral:rRNA from 1 species